UUCCCGCCAGUCCAUUGUCGUCACUCUGUCCAAUUGUGCUCCGAAUUCAGUUAAAGUGACAACAUAAUACUUAAACUCUCUGAACACUAAACGGUUUCUUGUCUCAGAAUUCUAACUUGAAAAUAAUACUUUAAUACCUGAUGCUUAAAUAACAUCAGCAAGAGAUACAUUUUUUAUUUUAAAUUCCGGAGACUCACACCGUGACACGGUCAACGUGUUAACACACCAUAGCACUUGACAACCGACCGCGUUUGAAUGGUGUAACAUGUUAUGACUAUUGUCAAACUUUUGUCAAACCUUUUCUAUAUCCGAAACUUCAAUCGCUUAUUAUGGUGAUUCUAUCGCGUUUGGUGCCAUUGUAAUCAGAAAAACACAACAAGCAUGGUAAAAGUUUCAUUCAUUAAAAAUCAAAAAUAAAAAAGUUUCAUUUUUAAGUUGAAGGUCUUAAGCUCGUCGCGACCCUUUAAUGUUGCUGAACGCUCCGACUCUCAACCUUUCUUUUUCCUUCACUUGGAUUGUCCCUUUUUAUCCCGCAAUGCUAAAAUCUUCGUUUCUUGGACUCGAAUCGAUUCUACCUCUUCAUAAUUGUCAUAUUCGAGUCUCCGUAAUAGUUGCAAUUAUCAAAUGUUCACUGUAUUAGGUUCUAGAGUAUUAGGUAUAUCGGUUCUGAGUUAUGUCGGUUUCGGUUCUAGUUCUUCAAAACCAAUACAGAACUGAUAUAAUAUCCUAAUAACAGUUGUGACUUUAUUUUGAUUCGUCAUAAUUGCUUUAGUCGGAACCAAUAUCUAACACUUUCGAGCAAUUAUUUUCAAAAUCUUUUCAAACUCUGUCUAAAAAUUCAUUCGUCUGUUCAUAAUACUGUUCGGGAAAAAUUUGCUUCUCUUUCGUUCAAAUAUAAGCAAAAUCGACAAAAUUGUAUCCCUCUUGAAUGAUUCUCUGGGUGUAGAAUUUUCCGUAUGGAGUAAUGAUACAGAUGAUAUUUAAAGGAAUACAAAAUCCAGAAAACGGAACUGUUGAAGACUUAGAAUUGCAUUAUAUGUACUAUAUAGAUAUGGAAAGAAGUGCACUGAUCCUCGAUAUACGCGAAAAGUAAUGACACUUCAAAAAACAAAAGUACAUUUUAUUUGUUGUUACUAAAUUCAGAUCACGCAUAAAAACUACUGCAUAAAUACUGUUAUAAUUUUUCGCGUAAAUUGAAGGUCAGAUGUACCACUUAAACUUCAGAAUAAAAUAUUUCAGUAAGUAGAGUUUUUAAUGAUAAACUCCUAUACUUUUUUUACGCAAAACUACGCAGAAAGCUAUAUAUAAAAAACAUAUAGAGUUUCGUUUAAAAAAACUGCGAUUGUAAAACUUUGCAAUUGUAUCAACGCAAUUAUGAUAAAACCUGUACCAUAAUAUGGUAGAGGAGCCGGUCAAGUCAAACUUUUCCUUUACGACUUUUUUCGAUUGCAAUUUUAUUAGUAACAGUUAUAGCUUAUUUCAGUUACUAGAUAUACCGUGUACGUAUAUUCGAAGUACUUUUAAGUAGAGUCUCAGAUAAAGAAUGGAUUAUAUUUAAUUAUAGAAAGAUCUAUAAUGUGAUCAGACAUCGAAGAUAGUAUUUAACACGUAAUGUUAUAAAUAUAUUAAAUAUGUAUUUCUGUAAGUUAUGAUCAUUCAUGGUGAAUUUCUUAGAAUACCUAUGUUAAAAGCCAGAGCAUAUAAGUAAGGACGUUCCCGUAAGUUAUGAGGUUUAUAACAGCAAAUUCAAUCCGUUAAAAAAUUAGAACGAGAAAUCAAUUACAUAAUUAGAAAAGAUAUCAAAACGUAUAGUAGUCGUUGUUUAUUUUGUAAAUAUUAAUCGAUUUUUAUGUGAACUCGUAUAUGUGGAGUAUAAACAAAAAUAGGAGUGAUUAUUUGAUAUAUUUUUCCAUUUCGUGCCAGAAAAUGUAUUCUGACACGUUUCCCACAAAAUAUCAUAAACUUUUUUUAUAUUCUCAGCAGUCCUGUUUACAGCCAGAAAAGAUACUGCAGAUAAGGUCUGACGCGUUACUAAUCAUCGCUGCAGUGCGCUAUAAGGAAUACAGAGUACAAGGAUACAUUCCGAAACUGGAAAAAAAACAAUUUCUUAUAGAUUUUCAUACAUUAUAGACUUUUAAAAACCGCAUCGACUGGAGCACUCAAAACUGUAGACUUUCCCAUAAAAAAGUAUCGUAGGCAGUGGGACAGCGAGUAUUCUGAAAGACAGGAAGAGGGCCAUAAAAGAGAAAGGGAUUGAUGGAGACCAGGCCCAAAGAUUGGCGAGUUUUCCCGAGCGAUGCGUAAGCGAGAAUGAUGAGUGCGUGGUGGUUAGAGUAGGGUGUGGUUGAGAAUUUGUUGGAAGUGCGAGUGAAAAGAAUGCUUGUGAGGGAGAGAAUGAUUUUUAAGUGCGGAUGGCGAGAGAUUUUGGAGAGAGUUGCGUUGGCUGUGGAAGAGAAGAGACCUGUACACUGCGAGCUAUAUCGUUUCUAUUUACUUGUAUCUUAUUCGAUUAACUAUUCCUAUGCUUUCUUUAAAUAAAAUAUAAUUAUUUCCAUUAAUACCACACCAUUUUUUCUGUCUCUAACCAUUGGGAAGGUAUAGCUUGUCCCAGUUGCGUGGAUACCCUGUAUAUGUGUGUGAACGCACGACAAGUAUGAAAACGAGUUGAAUAUUUAUUGUGAGAAGGUCGCUAACUCGUCGAUAAGCUGAGCAGAAUAGUUAAAAUUAUAUGAAGAUUUCAGGCGUUAACACAGAAAAAAGACAGGCGAAAUGUUUCUGCAAGCAUUGUUACAGGAGGUGUUCACGAUAGA